rnacentral:rRNA from 1 species
CUACGGGAGGCAGCAGUGAGGAAUAUUGGGCAAUGGGGGAAACCCUGACCCAGCAAUGCCGCGUGCGGGAAGACGCCUUUCGGGGUGUAAACCGCUUUUCUGCAUGAAGAGGAAGGACGGUAGUGCAGGAAUAAGUCACGGCUAACUACGUGCCAGCAGCCGCGGUAAUACGUAGGGUGCAAGCGUUGUCCGGAUUUAUUGGGCGUAAAGAGCUCGUAGGCGGUCUGUCGCGUCGGAUGUGAAAACCCAAUGGCUUAACCUUGGGCCUGCAUUCGAUACGGGCAGACUAGAGUGUGGUAGGGGAAACUGGAACUCCUGGUGUAGCGGUGGAAUGCGCAGAUAUCAGGAGGAACACCUGCAGCGAAGGCGGCGCUCUGGGCUGGAACUGACGCUGAGGAGCGAAAGCAUGGGUAGCAAACAGGAUUAGAUACCCCAGUAGUCC